rnacentral:rRNA from 1 species
CCUACGGGUGGCAGCAGUGAGGAAUCUUGGUCAAUGGACGAGAGUCUGAACCAGCCACGUAGCGUGAAGGAUGACUGCCCUAUGGGUUGUAAACUUCUUUUAUAUGGGAAUAAAAUGUUCCACGUGUGGGAUUUUGUAUGUACCAUAUGAAUAAGGAUCGGCUAACUCCGUGCCAGCAGCCGCGGUAAUACGGAGGCUCCGAGCGUGAUCCGGAUUUAUUGGGUUUAAAGGUAGCGUAGGUGGUUUGUUAAGUCAGUUGUGAAAGUUGUCGGAUCAACCGUAAAAUUGCAGUUGAAACUGGCAGUCUUGAGUACAGUAGAGGUGGGCGGAAUUCGUGGUGUAGCGGUGAAAUGCUUAGAUAUAACGAAGAGCUCCGAUGGCGAAGGCAGUUCACUGGACUGCAACUGACACUGAGGCUCGAAAGUGUGGGUAUCAAACAGGAUUAGAUACCCCAGUAGUC